AGUAAUACAUCGGAACGUGUCUUCUAGUGGGGGAUAACUGCCCGAAAGGGCAGCUAAUACCGCAUGAGACCUGAGGGUGAAAGCGGGGGAUCGCAAGACCUCGCGCCGGAAGAGCGGCCGAUGUCCGAUUAGCUAGUUGGUGAGGUAAAGGCUCACCAAGGCGACGAUCGGUAGCUGGUCUGAGAGGACGACCAGCCACACUGGGACUGAGACACGGCCCAG
rnacentral:rRNA from 1 species